ACAUCUUUAGUAUAAUAUUAGUACAUUUAUCUUCCAAAUAAAAAGAUUAUAAAGAUGUA
rnacentral:tRNA from 1 species